AUAGAAGUGGCUGGUUAUGAAAAUGGGCAGCACAGCCUUUUCCCUCCCUGUAGUAUCUUCCCAGAUAAGAAAGCAGGCCUGAAUCCUGGGUGCUGUCCUUCCACACCACAUGAAAGAUUCUGCACAUCUGUUACAUUCUAAGGCUGCUUUACAACACUACCAAACCCAGCUGUUUACAGUUUGGAAGACUGAGAGAAUCAUACCCAAAGCCACAAACAUCCAAAUGUGGUUCUCUUCAGAAGAAACUAAUAAUGAACUUGAGACAGAGUCUGCAGGGAUAGGUAUCAGAAAUCAAGUCUAAAGUAUAUAAGGUCUGUGUUCAAACAGGAGCCUGGACACGACUGAGAUAAAGAAUGAUUCCAGAGCUGGGCACACUGGCUCGUGACUAUAAUCCCAGUGACUCAGGAGGCUGAGGCAAGAGGAUUGCUUGAGGCCAAGAGUCUGAGGCUGCAGUGAGCUAUGAUCGCACCACUACUGUCCAGCCUCGGGGACACAGCAAGAGCUUGUCUCUUAAAAAAGAAAAAAAAAAGAUUGAGUCCAGAGUUAGAACUGCAAGAUAAAAAGAAGUUAACUGAACUCAGGGGGAGAAAGGAGGGGAACCUACUCCAAAUUCUAGCUCAGGUCUUACCUGAAUGUGGGCUCGCUCAGCUCCCAAGUGGCUGAGUGAGGUCAUGACUGAGAAGAAAGGACCCCUGGCCCAAGUUGUGAGUUGAAUGACUCUGAGGUUGAGAAGCUUUCAUACCUAAGAAUCAGGUGGCCAGUGGUGCACUGUGGGAGAGAUGAUCACCAAACUCUUUUCUUCUCUUUCAGGUCACACACCUAGAUUACCUGCCCCAGUCUCCCUUGCAGUUAGAUCUAGCUGUGAGGUUGAGUUUUGGCCAGUGGGAUAAAGAUGGAAGUUUCCACUGGCCUAAUCCAUAAAUUCUUCCGCAACUCUUCCCACUUUUAAUCUUAUGUCCCCAUGUCGUCUCUUCUCCCAGCCUUCUUCGUCUCAAUAAAUGUCACUAGCACAUAUCCAGUCGUUCAAGGAAAAACACAAUGGAGAAAACCAUCCUCAACGACUCAUUCCCUUUGCCUCACUCUUUCCCAGCAUCCUGCAAAAUCUGGCUCCAAAUAUAGCUCCAGUUUGUCCACUUCUCCCCUCUUCUCCAGUCUAUUACCUUGGUUUACUCCAUCACCAUCUCUCAAUUAGACUAUUGAAAUACAAUCCUACCUGGAAUUUAAA